UACGUAGGGUGCAAGCAUUAAUCGGAUUUAUUGGGCGUAAAGGGCGCGUAGGCUGGCAGAUAAGUCAGAUGUGAAAUCCCGGGGCUCAACCCCGGAACAGCAUUUGAAACUAUCUAUCUAGAGGGUAGGCGGAGAAAAUGGAAUUCCACAAGUAGCGGUGAAAUGCGUAGAUAUGUGGAAGAACACCGGUGGCGAAGGCGGUUUUCUAGCUUACUCCUGACGCUGAAGCGCGAAAGCAAGGGGAUCAAACAGG
rnacentral:rRNA from 1 species